UCUUGACCAAAUCUUUUAGCCUAAACCCAUUACUUUAACUCGUAGACGUAUGUUUCUAGUAUUUGUUAAUUAUAAAAUAAGUGAUGAUGAAGAUAAUGUUAAAUAAUUUCUGUAUCAAAUUUUAUAAUCAAACUUGCUUAUAUUAAAUUUGGAGAUCGUACGAUAUUGAUAAGUUAGGCCACCACUCCGCGAUGAUAUAAGUGGACGACGAUCUAGAAAAUUAAUAAAAACUUUGGUGACGUAUUUAACCUCCCAACCUCCUGAAACAGAGACCACA